rnacentral:rRNA from 1 species
UACGUAGGGGGCUAGCGUUGUCCGGAUUUAUUGGGCGUAAAGAGCGUGUAGGCGGCCAGGUAGGUCUGCUGUGAAAACUCGAGGCUCAACCUCGAGACGUCGGCGGAAACCAUCUGGCUAGAGUCCGGAAGAGGAGAGUGGAAUUCCUGGUGUAGCGGUGAAAUGCGCAGAUAUCGGGAGGAACACCAAUGGCGAAGGCAGCUCGCUGGGACGUGACUGACGCUGAGACGCGAAAGCGUGGGGAGCAAACAGG